rnacentral:rRNA from 1 species
GAUAAACGCUGGCGGCGCACAUAAGACAUGCAAGUCGAACGGACUUAACCAUUAGGUUUACUAUUGGAGCGGUUAGUGGCGGACUGGUGAGUAACACGUAAGCAACCUGCCUAUCAGAGGGGGAACAACAGUUAGAAAUGACUGCUAAUACCGCAUAUGCCUAAGUACCACAUGGUACAAUAGGGAAAGGAGCAAUCCGCUGAUAGAUGAGCUUGCGUCUGAUUAGAUAGUUGGUGGGGUAACGGCCUACCAAGGCGACGAUCAGUAGCCGACCUGAGAGGGUGAUCGGCCACAUUGGAACUGAGACACGGUCCAAACUCCUACGGGAGGCAGCAGUGGGGAAUAUUGCACAAUGGGCGAAAGCCUGAUGCAGCAACGCCGCGUGAAGGAAGAAGGUCUUCGGAUCGUAAACUUCUGUCCUUAGGGAAGAUAAUGACGGUACCUUUGGAGGAAGCCCCGGCUAACUACGUG